rnacentral:rRNA from 1 species
ACUUUUACAAUGAAGAGUUUGAUCCUGGCUCAGGAUGAACGCUAGCUACAGGCUUAACACAUGCAAGUCGAGGGGCAUCAGGAAGAAAGCUUGCUUUCUUUGCUGGCGACCGGCGCACGGGUGAGUAACACGUAUCCAACCUGCCCUUUACUCGGGGAUAGCCUUUCGAAAGAAAGAUUAAUACCCGAUGGCAUAAUGAUUCCGCAUGGUUUCAUUAUUAAAGGAUUCCGGUAAAGGAUGGGGAUGCGUUCCAUUAGGUUGUUGGUGAGGUAACGGCUCACCAAGCCUUCGAUGGAUAGGGGUUCUGAGAGGAAGGUCCCCCACAUUGGAACUGAGACACGGUCCAAACUCCUACGGGAGGCAGCAGUGAGGAAUAUUGGUCAAUGGGCGCUAGCCUGAACCAGCCAAGUAGCGUGAAGGAUGAAGGCUCUAUGGGUCGUAAACUUCUUUUAUAUAAGAAUAAAGUGCAGUAUGUAUACUGUUUUGUAUGUAUUAUAUGAAUAAGGAUCGGCUAACUCCGUGCCAGCAGCCGCGGUAAUACGGAGGAUCCGAGCGUUAUCCGGAUUUAUUGGGUUUAAAGGGAGCGUAGGUGGACUGGUAAGUCAGUUGUGAAAGUUUGCGGCUCAACCGUAAAAUUGCAGUUGAUACUGUCAGUCUUGAGUACAGUAGAGGUGGGCGGAAUUCGUGGUGUAGCGGUGAAAUGCUUAGAUAUCACGAAGAACUCCGAUUGCGAAGGCAGCUCACUGGACUGCAACUGACACUGAUGCUCGAAAGUGUGGGUAUCAAACAGGAUUAGAUACCCUGGUAGUCCACACAGUAAACGAUGAAUACUCGCUGUUUGCGAUAUACAGUAAGCGGCCAAGCGAAAGCAUUAAGUAUUCCACCUGGGGAGUACGCCGGCAACGGUGAAACUCAAAGGAAUUGACGGGGGCCCGCACAAGCGGAGGAACAUGUGGUUUAAUUCGAUGAUACGCGAGGAACCUUACCCGGGCUUAAAUUGCAGUGGAAUGAUGUGGAAACAUGUCAGUGAGCAAUCACCGCUGUGAAGGUGCUGCAUGGUUGUCGUCAGCUCGUGCCGUGAGGUGUCGGCUUAAGUGCCAUAACGAGCGCAACCCUUAUCUUCAGUUACUAACAGGUUAUGCUGAGGACUCUGGAGAGACUGCCGUCGUAAGAUGUGAGGAAGGUGGGGAUGACGUCAAAUCAGCACGGCCCUUACGUCCGGGGCUACACACGUGUUACAAUGGGGGGUACAGAAGGCAGCUAGCGGGUGACCGUAUGCUAAUCCCAAAAGCCUCUCUCAGUUCGGAUCGAAGUCUGCAACCCGACUUCGUGAAGCUGGAUUCGCUAGUAAUCGCGCAUCAGCCACGGCGCGGUGAAUACGUUCCCGGGCCUUGUACACACCGCCCGUCAAGCCAUGGGAGCCGGGGGUACCUGAAGUACGUAACCGCAAGGAUCGUCCUAGGGUAAAACUGGUGACUGGGGCUAAGUCGUAACAAGGUAGCCGUACCGGAAGGUGCGGCUGGAACACCUCCUUUCU